rnacentral:rRNA from 1 species
UACGUAGGGUGCAAGCGGUAAUCGGAAUUACUGGGCGUAAAGCGUGCGCAGGCGGCUUUGCAAGACAGAUGUGAAAUCCCCGGGCUUAACCUGGGAACUGCAUUUGUGACUGCAUGGCUGGAGUGCGGCAGAGGGGUAUGGAAUUCCGCGUGUAGCAGUGAAAUGCGUAGAUAUGCGGAGGAACACCGAUGGCGAAGGCAAUCCCCUGGGCCUGCACUGACGCUCAUGCACGAAAGCGUGGGGAGCAAACAGG